rnacentral:misc_RNA from 1 species
GUGAAUCAUCGAAUUUUUGAACGCAAAUUGCACUCUCUGGUAUUCCGGAGAGUAUGCCCGUUUGAGGGUCAUUUAAAAUAAAAAUCGGUGUGGUUGCUGCCUUUAGUGGUGACGCACCGGAUGUGGGUCUUCGUGCCUUGAGUUAAGUAACCUCAAAUAUAUCAUUAUUUUUUCUAACGGUUUUGAAUGAUUUUACAUAAA